AAGGAGGUGAUCCAGCCACAUUGGGACUGAGGCACGGCCCAAACUCCUACGGGAGGCAGCAGUGGGGAAUCUUGCACAAUGGAGGAAACUCUGAUGCAGCGAUGCCGCGUGAGUGAAGAGGGCCUUUGGGUUGUAAAGCUCUUUCGUCGGGGAAGAAAAUGACUGUACCCGAAUAAGAAGGUCCGGCUAACUUCGUGCCAGCAGCCGCGGUAAUACGAAGGGACCUAGCGUAGUUCGGAAUUACUGGGCUUAAAGAGUUCGUAGGUGGUUGAAAAAGUUGGUGGUGAAAUCCCAGAGCUUAACUCUGGAACUGCCAUCAAAACUUUUCAGCUAGAGUAUGAUAGAGGAAAGCAGAAUUUCUAGUGUAGAGGUGAAAUUCGUAGAUAUUAGAAAGAAUACCAAUUGCGAAGGCAGCUUUCUGGAUCAUUACUGACACUGAGGAACGAAAGCAUGGGUAGCGAAGAGGAUUAGAUACCCUCGUAGUCCAUGCCGUAAACGAUGUGUGUUAGACGUUGGAAAUUUAUUUUCAGUGUCGCAGGGAAACCGAUAAACACACCGCCUGGGGAGUACGACCGCAAGGUUAAAACUCAAAUGAAUUGACGGGGACCCGCACAAGUAGUGGAGCAUGUGGUUUAAUUCGAAGAUACGCGCAGAACCUUACCAACACUUGACAUGUUCGUCGCGACUCUAAGAGAUUAGAGUUUUCGGUUCGGCCGGACGAAACACAGGUGCUGCAUGGCUGUCGUCAGCUCGUGUCGUGAGAUGUUGGGUUAAGUCCCGUAACGAGCGCAACCCUUGUCCUUAUUUGCCAGCACGUAAUGGUGGGAACUCUAAGGAGACUGCCGGUGACAAACCGGAGGAAGGUGGGGGACGACGUCAAGUCAUCAUGGCCCUUAUGACCAGGGCUACACACGUGCUACAAUGGAGCGUACAGAGGGUUGCUAAGCCGCGAGGUGGAGCCAAUCCCAGAAAACGUUUCGUAGUCCGGAUCGAAGUCUGCAACUCGACUUCGUGAAGUCGGAAUCGCUAGUAAUCGCGAAUCAGCAUGUCGCGGUGAAUACGUUCCCGGGCCUUGUACACACCGCCCGUCACACCAUGGGAGUGGGUUGCAAGAGAAGUGGCUAGUCUAACCUUCGGGAGGACGGUCACCACUUUGUGAUUCAUGACUGGGGUGAAGUCGUAACAAGGUAGCCCUAGGGGAACCU
rnacentral:rRNA from 1 species